rnacentral:rRNA from 1 species
CACGUAGGGUGCGAGCGUUGUCCGGAAUUAUUGGGCGUAAAGAGCUCGUAGGCGGUGUGUCGCGUCGGCCGUGAAAACCUGCAGCUUAACUGUGGGCGUGCGGGCGAUACGGGCAGACUUGAGUACUGCAGGGGAGACUGGAAUUCCUGGUGUAGCGGUGGAAGUGCGCAGAUAUCAGGAGGAACACCGGUGGCGAAGGCGGGUCUCUGGGCAGUAACUGACGCUGGAGGAGCGAAAGCGUGGGGAGCGAACAGG